UACUUUGUGCCAAAGCUUUUUUAACCUGUACCUGGCCGUCUACCUGCCUGCACUCUCUCUCUUGUUCCAUUCUAGAUUCUUCUGGACCCUCAGUUCUUUCUGUUCCAUGCCGGAGUGAAGGAGUCUCUCAGCAGGAGACGCUGUCUGCCAUAUGGGGGAGCAUUAUGUCUGGGAGGCUGCAGCCAGAACCAGAGAAUGACAACUGCGGCAUUGGGAGGGAGAGGUGCUGAUCAGAGUUAUUCAGCUGAAGGUUGGCUCACCCCCGGAGCUUUUUCCCUCCA